CAGCAGCCGCGGUAAAACGUAGGUGGCAAGCGUUGUCCGGAAUUAUUGGGCGUAAAGGGCUCGCAGGCGGUUUCUUAAGUCUGAUGUGAAAGCCCCCGGCUCAACCGGGGAGGGUCACUGGAAACUGGGAAACUUGAGUGCAGAAGAGGAGAGUGGAAUUCCACGUGUAGCGGUGAAAUGCGUAGAGAUGUGGAGGAACACCAGUGGCGAAGGCGACUCUCUGGUCUGUAACUGACGCUGAGGAGCGAAAGCGUGGGGAGCGAACAGGAUUAGAUACCCCAGUAGUCCCUGUCUCUUAUAC
rnacentral:rRNA from 1 species